ACGGGUGCGUAACGCGUGGGAAUCUGCCCUUGGGUUCGGAAUAACAGUGAGAAAUUACUGCUAAUACCGAAUGAUGACUUAAGUCCAAAGAUUUAUCGCCCAGGGAUGAGCCCGCGUAGGAUUAGCUAGUUGGUGAGGUAAAAGCUCACCAAGGCGACGAUCCUUAGCUGGUCUGAGAGGAUGAUCAGCCACACUGGGACUGAGACACGGCCCAGACUCCUACGGGAGGCAGCAGUGGGGAAUAUUGGACAAUGGGCGAAAGCCUGAUCCAGCAAUGCCGCGUGAGUGAUGAAGGCCUUAGGGUUGUAAAGCUCUUUUACCCGGGAUGAUAAUGACAGUACCGGGAGAAUAAGCUCCGGCUAACUCCGUGCCAGCAGCCGCGGUAAUACGGAGGGAGCUAGCGUUAUUCGGAAUUACUGGGCGUAAAGCGCACGUAGGCGGCUUUGUAAGUUAGAGGUGAAAGCCUGGAGCUCAACUCCAGAACUGCCUUUAAGACUGCAUCGCUUGAAUCCAGGAGAGGUGAGUGGAAUUCCGAGUGUAGAGGUGAAAUUCGUAGA
rnacentral:rRNA from 1 species